rnacentral:rRNA from 1 species
CCCUAGGCUUUGGGAUAACCCCGGGAAACCGGGGCUAAUACCGAAUAGGACCACCGGUCGCAUGGUUGGUGGUGGAAAGUUUUUCGGCCUGGGAUGGGCUCGCGGCCUAUCAGCUUGUUGGUGGGGUGAUGGCCUACCAAGGCGACGACGGGUAGCCGGCCUGAGAGGGCGACCGGCCACACUGGGACUGAGACACGGCCCAGACUCCUACGGGAGGCAGCAGUGGGGAAUAUUGCACAAUGGGCGGAAGCCUGAUGCAGCGACGCCGCGUGAGGGAUGACGGCCUUCGGGUUGUAAACCUCUUUCAGCAGGGACGAAGCGUAAGUGACGGUACCUGCAGAAGAAGCGCCGGCCAACUACGUGCCAGCAGCCGCGGUAAGACGUAGGGCGCGAGCGUUGUCCGGAUUUAUUGGGCGUAAAGAGCUCGUAGGCGGCUUGUCGCGUCGACUGUGAAAACCCGCAGCUCAACUGCGGGCCUGCAGUCGAUACGGGCAGGCUAGAGUUCGGUAGGGGAGACUGGAAUUCCUGGUGUAGCGGUGAAAUGCGCAGAUAUCAGGAGGAACACCGGUGGCGAAGGCGGGUCUCUGGGCCGAUACUGACGCUGAGGAGCGAAAGCGUGGGGAGCGAACAGGAUUAGAUACCCUGGUAGUCCACGCUGUAAACGUUGGGCGCUAGGUGUGGGGGGCCUCUCCGGUUCCCUGUGCCGCAGCUAACGCAUUAA